rnacentral:hammerhead_ribozyme from 1 species
AUCUAGAUGAAGAGCCCCAGAUAGGACUAAAUGUGCAUCCUGGAU